CCUACGGGGGGCAGCAGUGGGGAAUAUUGCACAAUGGGGGGAACCCUGAUGCAGCGACGCCGCGUGGGUGAAGGAGUAUUUCGGUAUGUAAAGCCCUAUCAGCAGGGAAGAACAUUGACGGUACCUGAGUAAGAAGCACCGGCUAAUUACGUGCAAGCAGCCGCGGUAAUACGUAGGGUGCAAGCGUUAUCCGGAUUAACUGGGUGUAAAGGGGGCGCAGGCGGCGCGGUAAGCCUGGUGUGAAAGCCCGGGGCCCAACCGCGGGACUGCAUUGGGAACUGGGUUGCUGGAGUGCCGGAGGGGUAGACGGAAUUCCUAGUGUAGCGGUGAAAUGCGUAGAUAUUAGGAGGAACACCAGUGGCGAAGGCGGCCUACUGGACAGUGACUGACGCUGAGGCUCGAAAGCGUGGGGAGCAAACAGGAUUAGAUACCCGGGUAGUC
rnacentral:rRNA from 1 species